UUCCCCAUUCCCGAACACUCCAUGUUCCGAGCAACAGAGAGAUCUUGGUUGUGUGCGAAACGAACGAUGCAACGAAACACAUAAACGCACAUGAUCCACAUCUGAACCCAAAGCGACGCCGUAUCGCAAAUCCUUCACCGUUUCAAAUCAAACCCUAACAAUGGCGAAUUCACUAGAGCAAUCUCGUCCAUGGUUCCUCUACGCAGUUCCUUUGUUAGUAUUUCUUUUGAUUGCAUUUCAUGUCCUUGCCUUGGUGUAUUGGAUUUAUAGAUUGUCUACUGAUACUAAGCCACAACAGCAGACGCUACAACAACAGAUUCAGCAACAACAGCAACAGAGGAGAAAGGCUCACUGAACAGAACGAUUUCAAUUUGUGUAAAUUUUUUAAUUUUAAUUCAUAUAAUUGUUGUUUUGAAAGGAAAAUGUGUGAAAUAGUGUGAAAUUUGCUUAAUGUUGUCAGAUAGCAUCUCUAGAACUGUAGUUUAGUUGAAUUUGAAAAAUUGGUAUUGUUUUACGAUACUUAAUUUAGUAGAAAAUGCUAUUACAUAGCAGCUAUAGUGGCGCUAUAGUUGUAUGAUGUAGCAGAAUUUGAACAAACUGUUAUUUAGUGUGAUCUGCGAUUGACAAUACCGAUUAUAUGUUUUGGUCUUGGAUUUUGAGGGAGAAUGUAAUGUUGUGCGAGAAUUUUAAGUUGUUAAAUUGAGGUUAUACAUUACUUAGAA